AAGAGAAAGAUCAGCUUUAAACUUUGUUGUUAUAAGUUUUAUUAAAAAUAUGUAUUUUCUUAAUCAGGACACAGCUUCAGUGUACCUCAAAGGACUACAGCAGGCUUUCUGACCUACUGAUAGCACAAAAGGCAGAGAAAACAAGUGAGAAUAAGAAGGAAACAUCGUGGAGAAACUUGUCCCUGGAAAAUGUACUGCAGUUUGGUUAGCUCAUUUGAGAGAUAUACAGAAUAUACAGCAAUAAUGAAAGAUAGCCCACUUCUGGUCACACUGAAGAAAAUUACAAGAAAGUACUAUUGUACCAACAAACCAGAUAAAUGACUCAAUAGCGCAGGAUCAGCAGGAGCAGAGAUGUGGUGAAACAUUACCAUUCCUGUCUUUCCAACUGCAAUAGCACCUGCAAAAAGCACUGCAUCUUUGAAAUCAUGGGAUAUAAAUCUUUUUUGUGAUAAGAAACUCUAUGGAUUACAGGUCACUGCAGUGAGUAAAAAGCCUUCAGAACCUUAAAACAUCUUUUCAUCCUUUUAAAAGUAAAGGUGUUUUUUCCUGCUUGUAAAAGAUUUAGCAUGAAAAUGUUAGAAAACUACUGUUAGAAAUACUUUUAUUUAUCUGUACAAAAGAGAUGGUGCAAGAAACAUAGUUUAAGCUUUCUUAAAUUCAUCCACCGAGGUUGCUUUAAGAUCUUCAGUGGAUCAAUGUGUGGAAGCAUAUACUGAUCAUUUGAACAGACUGCUUGUAAAAAGAAGAAAAAAAUCAGCUUGAGGGCUACUUGGCUUAUAAAGCCUAUUUAGGAGUCAGGAGAUAAAGCCAUAGUACAUGUACCUGGCUUUAUUUUGUGGCACUGGAAUAAACAGACCUAGUGGUUUUAGUGAUCUCUAGAA
rnacentral:lncRNA from 1 species